UUUUACAAUGGAGAGUUUGAUCCUGGCUCAGGAUGAACGCUAGCUACAGGCUUAACACAUGCAAGUCGAGGGGAAACGAUAUUGGAAGCUUGCUUCCGAUAGGCGUCGACCGGCGCACGGGUGAGUAACGCGUAUCCAACCUGCCCACCACUUGGGGAUAACCUUGCGAAAGUAAGACUAAUACCCAAUGAUAUCUCUAGAAGACAUCUGAAAGAGAUUAAAGAUUUAUCGGUGAUGGAUGGGGAUGCGUCUGAUUAGCUUGUUGGCGGGGUAACGGCCCACCAAGGCAACGAUCAGUAGGGGUUCUGAGAGGAAGGUCCCCCACAUUGGAACUGAGACACGGUCCAAACUCCUACGGGAGGCAGCAGUGAGGAAUAUUGGUCAAUGGACGAGAGUCUGAACCAGCCAAGUAGCGUGCAGGA
rnacentral:rRNA from 1 species